UCAUAGUCUCAUCCUUUGAGCACCAUGCAGAACCUACUCUUCCCCUUUUCUACCACAACUAUAUGAGAAGAAAACAAGGCCUUAGUUCUCCAGAACCACUGAGUCUCAGAAAACAGUUGCAUCCAAGAAAUUGGGGGAGAUCCUUGACUUUGAAGAAUGGGAAUAUGAAUCCUUCCUGGAGACAGAUGGAUGGUCCAAGUCGACCUUUAUGCCCCCAGGCUAAAAGUCUUCACUUGUUCAGCACCAGUUAAGAUCAAAAUUGCUCUGAAAAAACAAAGACCAAUAAACCUGUUCUCCCUGGGGUGUAAUGCA
rnacentral:lncRNA from 1 species